rnacentral:lncRNA from 1 species
GCUGAAGACUUCACUGACUGUGAUAUCACAGAAAAUGCACUGGCUGUGUGUCUAGCUCAUUCUACCACCUCUGGAAUCAACCUGGAAGCUUGUGGUAAAGAUGACAAGGGACACUCCACAGUGGUUCUGCACGGAGUUUAUGAUUCUCAAGAAGUCUUUUAAAUAGCAGGGCUUCCUCCACUCUGUACGGGUUCAGUAACAUGACAUCUGCUCUGGAUGUGACCAGCCAUGCAUCAGGAAACUUGAGACUGUGGAUCAGAGACCCUCCUGUGUGCUUAGGAGAAACUCCAAACAGAGCACAGAAACUGGCCCCUGAAAAGCAGUCGAAAGCGAAUGGGAAAGGACUUGUAUUUGCAUCCAUGAAGCCCCGGCCCGGCAUUAGCAGGUGGGAGCCGCAGGAAUUUGCUAGGAGAUGGAUGGCACUUAUUGGUCUGUACCAUCAGAACACAGAUCCUUGCUUCCAGAACAACUUAAAAUCAAGAGAAAAUCCCACGCGUGAGAGCUCUCAGAGAAACAUUAAAAUGCUAACGAACUGAA